UCUGUUAUUGGAUAUAACUCUAUACUGUAUAGACUAUAGAUAAUAUAGAUCUGUUAUUGGAUAUAACUCUAUACUGUAUAGACUAUAGAUAAUAUAGAUCUGUUAUUGGAUAUAACUCUAUACUGUAUAGACUAUAGAUAAUAUAGAUCUGUUAUUGGAUAUAACUCUAUACUGUAUGGCUCAGAUGAACUCUCACUGUUAUUCACUGUCUCAGUUUACAACCCAAAUGGCACACUAUUCAGUGCCUUACUUUUGACCAAGACCUAUAGGGCUCUGGUCAAAAGGUAGCGCACUAGAUAAGGAUCAAAUCAAAUGUAUUUAUCAAGCCCUUCGUACAUCAGCUGAUAUCUCAAAGUGCUGUACAGAAACCCAGCCUAAAACCCCAAACAGCAAGCAAUGCAGGUGUAGAAGCAGGGAAAAUGCAAUGCAGGUGUAGAAGCAGGGAAAAUGCAAUGCAGGUGUAGAAGCAGGGAAAAUGCAAUGCAGGUGUACAAGCAGGGAAAAUGCAAUGCAGGUGUAGAAGCAGGGAAAAUGCAAUGCAGGUGUAGAAGCAGGGAAAAUGCAAUGCAGGUGUAGAAGCAGGGAAAAUGCAAUGCAGGUGUAGAAGCAGGGAAAAUGCAAUGCAGGUGUAGAAGCAGGGAAAAUGCAAUGCAGGUGUAGAAGCAGGGAAAAUGCAAUGCAGGUGUAGAAGCAGGGAAAAUGCAAUGCAGGUGUAGAAGCAGGGAAAAUGCAAUGCAGGUGUACAAGCAGGGAAAAUGCAAUGCAGGUGUAGAAGCAGGGAAAAUGCAAUGCAGGUGUAGAAGCAGGGAAAAUGCAAUGCAGGUGUAGAAGCAGGGAAAAUGCAAUGCAGGUGUAGAAGCAGGGAAAAGUCUAAUCAGUCUGAAAAUUGAAGUGGAGCAGAAUGACAUGUUGUUUUUUUAAGACACUUUUGAAGGACUUGGUGUAUGAACCUCAUAGACUUUAGCUCAGUGGGAUUUACAACACAGUAUCGGGACAGCAGGACACCUGGAUUCUAACCCUGGUCGGCGACGGUCACAAAUGAUUUACUGUAACGUUGUCAGGAUGCAUGUACCCAUUUUCCCAUGGUAUUUGUUGUGACAGUAUGCAUACCUGUUAGGGUGUAGGGUGUGGACCUCUUUCUGACUACAUUUACAUGUGCUUUUUACCUGCCCUAACUGUACAGCAUAAUAUCAUUGCAACUUAAAUACAGUAUUUCCUCACUGAACAUAAUAGCCAAUCAAUUUAAAUACAGUAUUUGUCAUAAGCGUAAUAUGCAAUUCAAUUUAAAUAGAAUAUUUCUCACUUAACAUAAUAGCUAUUCAAUUUAAAUACAAUAUUUCCUCACUUAACAUAAUAUGCUUGCAAUUUAGAUACAGUAUUUCCUCACUUAAAAUAAUAGCCAUUCAAUUUAAAUACAGUAUUUGACAUUAGCAUAAUAUCCAUUCAAUUUAAAUGGAAUGUUUCUAACUUAACAUAAUAGCCAUUCAAUUUAAAUCCAGUAUUUUGUCACUAAAUUUGAGAUUCUCUGUAGGUGCACAAUACCAAGCACACAGACCAAUAGACUUUGACCAUCAUCUCUCUUGCAUUAAUUAAUUAAUUUGAAUUCGUGAAUCUCAGGAAAUCACUUAUCAUAAACCAUGUAUCUGUUCAGCCAUUCUGCCAUGCGCCCAUCCAUCAGUAGUUUGAUUUGCUGAGUGAGGUAGAUGAAGAUCAUGAUAGUGUUUUUUGUUUUUUUUUGGG